UUGACAGCUCUGGAAAUAGAUGGCCUCUUUCUCUCCGAAGAAUAGAUACAGCCUGAUAAACAGAGGUGUUCCUUCAACUACUUCUUCAAUAAGCCUUCACCCUGAUAAAGCAGUGGCUGAAGAAAGACAGAAAGAGCAGUCACCUCUUCCAGCCAGCUCUCUCCACACUGCCAUU
rnacentral:sRNA from 1 species